rnacentral:tRNA from 1 species
AUGGCAGAUUAGUGCAAAGGAUUUAAAAACCUUAUAUAGAGAU